UACGGAGGGUGCAAGCGUUAUCCGGAUUCACUGGGUUUAAAGGGUGCGUAGGUGGGCAUGUAAGUCAGUGGUGAAAUCUCCGUGCUUAACAUGGAAACUGCCAUUGAUACUAUGUUUCUUGAAUUUUCUGGAGGUAAGCGGAAUAUGUCAUGUAGCGGUGAAAUGCUUAGAUAUGACAUAGAACACCAAUUGCGAAGGCAGCUUACUACAGGGAUAUUGACACUGAGGCACGAAAGCGUGGGGAUCAAACAGG
rnacentral:rRNA from 1 species